rnacentral:misc_RNA from 1 species
UUGUCCGGCCACGUCACCGUCGCCAGUUUGUAUCGCGCGGUCCAGCGGUCGAUCUUGCGCAUGUCUUCCACGACCAGUGCGUGCCGCAGUUCGCCGCGCAGCGCGACGUUCCAAAGUCCGAUCACCGGAUGGGUCUGAUCGCCGGAAGCUGCGACCGCGAGUUGUGCGCCUUCUUCGAUCCGCGCGCGCUGCAAUCGCGCAACCAGAUCGCGCGGCAGGA